AACUUCCCCCGAGUAAAACACCUUCCUUCCUUCUGAAAGCUCAUCAGAGUUUUUUACAGUGUCGAUCUGAGAAGUAGAGAUGCCGGGUUCUGACCCUUUAUGGAUCAGGCGCAUGAUGUUAUACGGAUCUUUAUGUGGCGUAGCCAUUUUAGUGGCUGCCGUUGAAAGUCAGAGUUUUUUCGAUCCAAAACAUCCCAAGGAACAACUGACUGCCGAGGAUGUUCCGGAGAAGCAGCGGCAGCACUUAGAAACCAGUAAUAAUAAUGAUUUGGUAAAUAAGGCUGUUUAAUAAGCCACCCUUUCGAGUUUUUGCUUCAAUGUUUUAUUUAUGCUUCGAUUUUGCUAUAAUCUAUGCGGAUGCUGAUUUUGUUAUGUAGAUGCUGUUGCCUCCAAAUUCCAAUAGUCUCUCUGAAUUCAUUUUUGGGGCAUGUAGAAGAAUUCUUAGAGACUUGGAAGUAGCAAUAGCUUCAAGUUUGUAAGAAUAUCUAGCAUUUUAAGAAUAUUGAGAUGGAUGUUCUAGAGACUAGUAUGGUCUUUAGAGUAUAUCAAUUUUAUGAUGUUUGGGUGGUCCACAAGAGUGAGCUUGCUCAUGGCAUUAAUUACUAGUCACUUGAGAGAUA